rnacentral:rRNA from 1 species
UACGAAGGGGGCGAGCGUUGUUCGGAAUUACUGGGCGUAAAGGGCGCGUAGGCGGCGACUCAAGUUAGAUGUGAAAGUCCUGGGCUUAACCUGGGGACUGCAUUUGAUACUGGGUUGCUUGAAUUCGGGAGAGGAUAGCGGAAUUCCCAGUGUAGAGGUGAAAUUCGUAGAUAUUGGGAAGAACACCGGUGGCGAAGGCGGCUAUCUGGACCGACAUUGACGCUGAGGCGCGAAAGCGUGGGGAGCAAACAAG